UUCUUUCUGUGCUUCUCUUCCUCCCUCCGUUCUCUCCCUCUCACUUCCUUUCCUGCUCCUCGCGUCUCUGCCCGGUGAGCUCCUUGUGUCCCUACGACUUGCUUCCACUUCGUCGCAUGCUACUCCACGCCCUCCUGCCCGGCGAGCUCCUCCCGUCCCUACGGCUUCCCUUGCACGCACGCUGGUCCCCUUCUUCACUCCGUACAGUCUUCCAAUGUGGCUUCGGUGAUGGCCAUCCGUGCCUCCUGCUCCUUCAUGUGUUCUGCUCCUCUUCGGUUUGACGCUGCAGCCUUCUGCGGCUGAAAACUUUUUUGCUUGGGUUUUGCAGGCUGCAAUUGCUAAUUUCAAGGUCACUUCUAGGUGCAAGGUAAAGGAUCUGUUGGUUCUGUGUGCUGCUAAGUAGGAUCUGAAGUUGUCGCUGCAUCAUAUUGCAAGUGUAUGUUUGGUUCCUCUGCUUCAAAAUUUGUGUUUUUUUCCCCGUGUUUUACUUUAAUGCAUGGUAUUUGAGUAUUGACUAGAGAACUAUUGAUAGCAGGCAGCUUCUUUCAUUUUCUCAUUCUAGCUAGUUGUCCUUUCUUCCAAUACAUGUUCUAGCUAGCUGCAGGUCUGUGUGUGAAUGUGAAAUUGCAGGUAACCCACUCUGUAUGUAUGACUUAUGUUAAGAAGACCUGUUAGUUUAGAGAUUAGUUUGCUAUUUACUCUCAAGGGUUGGAGUCCUGUGUUUGAUUGAUUCUACUUCACAUAAACAUGUCACAUUAUCUUCAGUUAAUGACUUCUUUGGUACUAUGAAACAGAUAUAGCUUGCCACUGUAAAUGCUGCUUGUGCUUCAUUCUUCUAUAGCUGAUGCUGAUAUAAAUGCUCUCCUAGCUACAUACCCUUGCAUAUUUUUGCUAGCAGUUUUUGCAAUGUGCUUGUGAUGUUGUCUUCCGGAGUUGAUUCUGAAAGCUUUGAUUUUUAACAAUUAUAUUGAGAGAACAGGAUAAACUUUGAAGCUUUGGAGAAGGGUCGAUUAGUUCUCAACCUUUUCCCUGAAUUGUUUUAUUGGUUUGAAUAUCUGAAUGACUGAAUGAUAAUUUUCAUGGACUGAACCACUCUCCAGAACUUAGAAUCAUGAUAUGCACCAUUAUAACUUAAUGGCUGAUAAUUGCAUGCAGAAUUAUUUAUACUAGAAAUCUAGGUUAAUGUGGCUGGCACCAUCUGUAUUUUGGAUCCUUAACCAGUGACACAAUAACCUGUUAAAUAUAUUUAAUUCUUUAAAUUGUUCAUAUACUGUCAAUUUUCUAACGAAAUUUAUUUUCAAUGCAGCCUGGUCACUUUCAGGGCAAUUCUUAUGACAUAGUAUUUGCUUUCCAGGUAUAUUUACUACCUUUUACCUAUUUAGCGACUUAAAUUCUUAUAUAUAUGUACUUAAUCUACCUUUUAAUUUAAUUUUUAUGCAUUGCUACGGACAAUAUGUCAGUGGAUCAAUCAGUGAUGAGCAAAGAAAGAACGUGCUCCGCAAUUCAUUUCCAGGUGCAGGUGCAGGUGCAUGUGGUAUGUACACAGCUAACAUGAUUUCAUCGGUUAUCAAGGCCAUUGGCAUGAGCCUUCCAUACAGCUGCAAUUAAUGUCUUAAUCUUUAACCUGUUUGUUGUGAAGCAAUGAAAAAUAUUUUAUUACAUUAGUCUGCGUCAUUUACAUAGAUUAACUAUUCUUAAUCAAUAUUUCUUUGUGCUUUAUGUACCAAAGUUCUUCAACUCCUGCUGGAGACCCACUAAAACUUGAGGAAUGCCGCCUUUCUGGGAAGUAUCUUUUAGAAUUGCUAAAGAUAGACUUCAAGCCUACGGACAUUAUCACCAAUAAGUCAUUGCGGAAUGCAAUGGUUAUUGUCAUGGCUCCUGGUGGGUCAACUAAUGAGUUGGUUGUUGCCUAAUUGUAUCACAUCUACUUAUUUUAUGAGUACACCAAAGCUUAUUUGUUACUCAUUAUGAUCUUAAAAUUACAUUUCAAUGUUUAGAUGCAUUUAUGCAAAUGAAAAAGACUGAUUAACUUGCCAUUGAUGCUGUAAGGGAAAAAAUAAUUUGAUUCCAGCUACAACAUCUCCAUCAUGGUAAGGUCAUUUUGCUCCUUGCGUUCCCUUAACUAUGUUACACACUAGAGUAUUAUAUGUUCCUGAUAGUUUUUUUAUUUUAGGAAAUUUCUAUAUAGCUCAUCCUGCUGUGUGUCAAUUCAUUUAUCUUAUCUUCUAAUCUGAACAUACAAUGUCUAGGAUUAGUUUUACUCAAAUUUAAGCAAUACUUAUACUGAGGAGUUAUAUUAUUGUCUAAUUAAAUACUUAAAAGUUCUUAAAAAAAGUCCUAUCCUAUAGUAAUAAUGUAGAACAAGAAUGAACUUUUUUUUUGGCGAUCAAGAACAAGAGUGAACUUAAUGCCAAUCAAAAAAGCAUCUCAAUGUUGGUUCAGGUUAUAAAUCUAUAUAAACAUUCUCUCUUCAGCGAUUGUAGUAUCCUAUAAAUAAAUAUUAUAAUGUCGUGUGAAGUUGCAAGCUUUGGUUGAUUUAAUAGGUUAAUUAUUUUUUUGGCGCAGAAAACAGAACCGGAGGACUACUUCCCGUGCGAACAAGCAAACUCCAUACUUAAUCUUGCCUCUUUUUUUUUGGAAUUAGCGUCAUAUACCUCUAUGUAUCCAUCUUCCAAUAAGAAAAGGAAACUUUAUGCUCCGUACUUUAACAGUACAAUUACUUCGCUAUUGGGAUAAAUUUUAUUUCGCUAGCGCUGGGCGCGCGCAAAGUA